rnacentral:lncRNA from 1 species
CUUGUCUACAUAUUACCCUCCCCAGACCCCACCUGGUGGGAGUAUACUGGGUAGUUGUUGUUGUUGUUGUUGUUCCAAAUGUAAUAAGACAGAGAAUUAGAGGAUUACAAAUUUGCACUACCCUCAGUACUAGUAAUACACUUUGUACAUAUCUACAUGAAAUCCAAUAAAUAGACUCACAUGAUCUCAUAUCUCUUUUUUUUUUUAAAUCAAGCACAGGAUGACAUAUCUCCUCACCAAUAAAAACGCGACUUGCUCAGCAACCAUAUCUAGCCUGGUCUUCCAUUCCAACUAUAGAUGACUAGUUAACUCAAGUGCAAUGUCUCGUCAUACCCCCUCGUUCAGUCAUGUCUUCUCAAACAAUAGAUAGCUACUUUGACCACACAAAUGGCAUAGAGUCGAAAUAGAAGAUGCUCCACCAAACCACCUCGCUCAUGCCCUCAACGUAAUUACUGUCACAAGACUGGUUACACUCGAGAGAAAUGCUACUGCCUGCAUGCUGCGGCUACCAGAAUGUUUCACACAAAGAAUCCAUAGACAACACAUGCAGAACAUUAUUCCCCUACCUGAAGCAAACUGUAAUGAGUUUCUCCAGUCCCAAACAUUUCACCAGUUGUCUCCUCAAAUAGCCCCCUGUGUCAGGAAAUUCUAUUGCAUAUGUUUCAUGGUCAUCCUUCCUUGGUGAUCGAUCAUUUUCUUUGCUAUUCUUUGCCGUCAACUUAAGCCAUUAAAGUAGCUAAUGGUUCUCAAAUGGCAAUCCAACAAAAACAAGCUAAUCAUCUUUUCCUUUUUGACUUUAAAGUCUACCUUUACAUUCAUAAGCAUCCUAUUAAUCUCCUUUCAACCAGUCGGUUGACUAGCACAGGUAACUCCCUGAGCACUUUUUUGUAUGCAAAAUCGGAGUUCAGAACAAAUCAUGAGUCAUGAGAGCUUACUACCUCAACCUCUACAGAACUUCCACUACAAGGUACAAGCCAAGCUGCGGUUACUCAUGUACUCUCCAUACACGAUUGUUAUAAUUGGACUAGCUCUCCUUUAGCACAGUGUGGUGUAUACGUCUUGAGUUAAUGUGCACUUCCCAACAACAUAGGAUAGCUGAAAGAAAAUAAACACUCGAUUGAAACAACAUGCAGCCUGCUUGUACGUUCCAAUUUUCCAUUACAUCUUUAGCUAAUGUUGUUCUUACAUAUUGCUACCUCAUAAAUUAAAUGCAUUCACUACACUAUAGAUCAGAUUCCUUAUUCCAUUUUUCUAACAAAACUUUAUAUUCACGACCAACUAGUGUAUUUGGAAGAGAGCAUUUUGUCCAUAUUGGACCCUUGGGAAAGAGAAAUUAACACACUGUGCUUCUAAGUGUAUAGCUAGGGAUUUUUUUAAUUAGUUCUAGGAUAUUCUUGAUGUGGAUGGAUAUCACGGCUAUUUGCCCCAUCCUAAUUAGAAUAUCUAUCUGCAGAUGUCACUUAGUUUUUAACUUGUCCUUUCUUCGCAUAUGCUCAAAGGAGCAUAUCAUCUCUGAAAUUUCACUUGUGCCACAUCUAAGAGUCCUUUCUUAUCGUCAAUCUCUACCAUCUGUUAAGCCCCCACACCUCCCCCAGAAACUCACCUCCUAACAUACAAAUGGUGUUAUCAUCAUACACCUACUCAACAUACUCAGACCCUGCACCAAAUCCUUACAUUGCCACAUAUAUUACCAUCUUCAUCACCUCUUCAUACAUCUGCCAAAUCAAGUUUCAAGGUAUGGAGAAAAAAGGACCUUUUUACCAGGUCCCUUUGCACUAUGCAGUUCACAUUUUUUUCAUUUGACUAGUGCAAAUAUUUGAUAUAGAAGUUCAAAUAGUUAUUUUAAACAAUAGUCAAAUGCUAAUGGAAAGCAGAUUAUUUGGGGAAAUAGAAAUCAUAUUGACGUUCAAUCAUGAAUGAUACUAGCUAGCGCGAUUAUUAAUCUAAAACUCACUAUCUACAGUUUCAUUGACUAUUCUAUGUGGUGAUUCAUUUUAAGAGAUCAGAUUCAUGUUACUAUACUCAGAUAGAGAUGUAAACAAGCUUUUGCAACAUCAAGUCGGAUAUUAAACCCAGAAGCAGCACUAGAACAGGUGGUGUACAUAUAAAUAAUUGUUCAAGUAUACUAAGUAUAUUCUUCACUAAACGUUUCAAAUAAUACAAUCAGCAUACCAACUAAACAACUGAGAUCAUACAAAAAAGAUUACACACAGAGACUGGCUCAUUAUAGAACAGACUGAUAUCUGAAGUAUCAAUAUACAGAUAAAUGUAUUUUUUCUGACCAUAUAUUAACCAACUUCCUUAAGGGAAAGGUCUAGUAGUAUGUGGCAGACAUGAGUAUAUUUAAGAACCUACAAGAUAUUGGACACCGCAAUUGUCACACAGGAUACACAUCUCUAAUGCACCGGCGGAACAAUUUUUUUUUUAAAAACCAAGAAAUUCCCGAGGGCCAAUGCACACAAUUUGAAACUCAAUGGACAAUGGGCCCACCCCUAUACCCUCCUCCCUUAAAUACCAGGCUUUUAUUUGAUAGUAGUACAGUACACAACUAGUUCAUAGGAGAAACAUUAAGUUAGUUGGGUGUUGGAGGACUAACAGGGCAAAAAUGCUAGUUUUGAUCUAGGAGAAACCCAUCCAAAUCAUUAUAGGUGUUAGAAUAUGUAAAUAGUAGUAAAAUAACCCUAAUCCAAUGUGUAUUAAGAGUAGGAUAGGUUAUGUGUAUGUAUAUAUGGCUCAUUGUAUCAUGUUUAAUAUCAAUUAUUAUUUUUCUCCCGUGCUUUCUCACACUUCACGUAUAUUAUUUUUUUAUUUUGUGAACUAACUCUUGAACGUUUGUUGUUUUGUCGUGGCUUCUAAUCAUUUGAAUGAAUUAAGCAUAAAAAUAUUCUCAAGUAUUUUUCUCUAUACUUUUUGAUUAAUUUUGUGACCCCAAUCCUACCUCACAGAUAAUCCCGUAACUAAAUUACCUUUUUGUUGGUGUUGUGCAAAAUCUGAGGUCACCACAAGGUUCGUAAGAGAAUUCCGACCAACCCCAGAAAAAAUCACCGGAAAAGAACCCCUCACGCGCCGCCACGCGCCCGCCGGAGUUCUGCCGCCGCCGGCGUGUCUAUCCCACGCUCCGGCGCAUGAGACACCUUCCGGCCAGAAUUUCAAAAAUUUCCUUCAAGACAGUCUGAUCGUCCUCGAAUUCCGAGCCUAUCCAUAUUUUUAUUUUUCAAUUCCGACAACCUUGAAUUUUUUCCGGUAGCUACAGUACUUUUUCUGGCAGCUACAAUGUUUCCAGUUUUCCGGCAGCUCCAGUUUUCAGUUUCCAGUUUUCUGUUUCAGUUUCAGUUUCCGGCAGCUACAUUGUUUCCAGUUUUCAGUUUCCUUCAUCUGUUCCGGCAGCUACAAUGUCUCCAGUUUUCCGGCAGCUACAGUGUUUCCAGUUUCCAGUUUUCGGUUUCCAGUUUUCAGUUUCAGUUUCAGUUUCCGGCAGCUACAGUGUUUCCAGUUUUCCGGCAGCUACAGUAUUUCCAGUUUCCAGUUUCCUUCAUCUGUUUCAACGAGUUUUCAGUUGGUUGUUUCUGAUUAUUUGGUGAUAACCCAACGAUGUCUUUGGGACUCGAUGCUUUCGGGUCUAGAAA